UGGGGAAUUUUGGACAAUGGGGGCAACCCUGAUCCAGCCAUUCCGCGUGAGUGAAGAAGGCCUUCGGGUUGUAAAGCUCUUUCAGCAGGAACGAAACGGUCGGCUUUAAUAAAGUCGGCUAAUGACGGUACCUGCAGAAGAAGCACCGGCUAACUCUGUGCCAGCAGCCGCGGUAAUACAGAGGGUGCGAGCGUUAAUCGGAAUUACUGGGCGUAAAGGGUGCGUAGGCGGUUAAAUAAGUUAGAUGUGAAAUCCCCGGGCUUAACCUGGGAAUUGCAUUUAAUACUGUAUGACUAGAGUAGAGUAGAGGGAAGUGGAAUUUCCGGUGUAGCGGUGAAAUGCGUAGAUAUCGGAAAGAACAUCAGUGGCGAAGGCAGCCCCCUGGGUCAACACUGACGCUCAUGCACGAAAGCGUGGGGAGCAAACAGGAUUAGAUACCCUGGUAGUCCCUGAGCGGGCUGGCAAGGCGCAU
rnacentral:rRNA from 1 species